GGCACAAACUUGAAGUAGAGUAGUUCAGUGGGGUCACCUGGUCCUAAUGAUCUUUUCUACUUCAAAUUUGGGCCC
rfam:Haemonchus placei strain MHpl1 genome assembly, scaffold: HPLM_scaffold0000209